rnacentral:lncRNA from 1 species
UAAAGUAAAAAGAGAAUUGUCUAACUCGUUUGAUGGAGCAAGAACCUCCAAUUUCUGAUUUGAAUCAGAGAGAAUAGUAGAAAAGGUGCUGUAUCUUUAUUUCAUUCCAUAAUAAAUAGCAGAAAAUUUUAACAAAUUCCCACAAAUAUUGGGAUAAAGACCCAACGUUCACAAGUUGGUUUUAAAGACCCAACAAUUAUGCUAGACUUAUUCAAGGAACUAAACAUUCAAAUAAAAAAAUGGAAAUUGUGAACAUAAAACUCCUAUCAAUUCCCUUCCCCUUAAAUUUCAGCCUUGUCCUCAAGGCUAAUAUCUGGGGAACUGAUUUUUAAGGAUUUCGCGAUCCUCCCAAGUUGCUUCAGCUGGAAAUGAACCUUGCCAAUGCACCAAAACUUCUUGUCUCUUACCCUUCAUUUGUCUGUCCAAAAUUGCUUGCUACAGAAGAAUUACUUUCUCUUCAACUUGAUCCAUGACAGGGAGCUGUGUUAUGACCGAUUGAUCACCAACUUUCUUCUUUAAUAGUGAAACAUGGAACACUGAAUGUAAUUUUGAGGACUCAAGCAAUUCCAACCUGUAAGCUACCUUACCAAUCCUUUGUAAUACCUUGAAAGGACCGUAGAAUUUCGCAGAGAGUUUCAGAUUCUGCCUCCUGGCUAAUGAUAGUUGUCUAUAAGGCUGAAGUUUAAGAAAUACCCAAUCACCUACCGAGAAUUCUCUUUCUCGGUGUUUUAAUCAUAUAUUCGUUUCAUUCUUGCCUGAGCCUGUUUGAUGAUGUCCCGAGCAACCUGGAUAACUUGGUCACGAUUCUUGAGCUCCUCUUCCAUUGCUGCUACUCUUGUUGUACCUGGAACAUAAGCCAAAAGUGAAGGAGGAGCCCUUCCAUAUACCACUUCAAAGCGAGUGCUUUUGACAGAUGAGUGCCAACUCGUGUUGUAGCAAAACUCUGCCCAUGUCAGCCAUUUCGUCCACUGCUUAGGUUGUGAACUUGUGAAACACCGCAAAUACAUCUCUAAUGUUCUAUUUACCACUUCAGUCUAGCCAUCUGUUUGAGGGUGGUAACUAGAACAAAAGUUGAAAUCUGUCCUUUGAAGCCGGAAUAUCUCUUGCCAAAAUAAACUGGUGAACACUAAAUCUCUAUCACAAACAAUGGAACGAGGCAUACCAUGCAACUUGAAAACAUUUUCAAAGAAUAUUCUUGCAACUCCAAUGGCUGUAUAUGGAUGAGAUAGAGCAAUAAAAUGAGCAUAUUUGGAUAAUCUAUCAACUACCACAAAAAAGGUUGUUUUACCAUUGGAAGGUUGUGAUGUUGUUUUGGGAGCACUAUGGCUCUGCACACUAGGGAAGAUUGAAUGGGAUUUCUCUAAAUUAGUAAUGAAGUUUGAAUUGUAUGGUACGAUUAUUAGUCUCCAUGGAUUGAAAAGCACGAAGGACAUGGUGGUUGAUGGCCUUGAAAUUCACAAGCUAACAUCGACGAAAGGAAUUUUACUCAAACUGACAUCUAAGGAAAAGAAAGGAGAAGCCCAGCAAGAAUUCCAUCCACAAGUGAAGGCAAUUCUGCAAAAAUUUAGCAAAAUACUUGUUGAACAACCAAUAGGAUUACCUCUCCAGCGAGCAUGUACAGCCUUGUUAGUAGAAUUAACUUUUCCUUUACCUAUUUUGGGAGUAAAGUAAAAAGAGAAUUGUCUAUCUCGUUUGAAGAAGCGAGAACCUCCAAUUUUUGAUGUGAAUCAUAGAGAAUAGCAUAAAAGGUGCUAUAUCUUUAUUUCAUUCCAUAAUAAAUAGCAGAAAAUUUCAACAAAUUCCCACAAAUAUAGGGAUAAAGACCCAACGUUCACAAAUUGAUUUUAACGACCCAACAAUUAUGCUAGACUUCUUCAAGGAACUAAACAUUCAAAUAAAAAAAUGGAAAUUUUGAACAUAAAACUCCUAUCAAACUUCCAUCCCACUGUCGGCAUCAAAUUCACCGGAAAAAACCACAAUUUCUAGUCAAAACAGCGAAUUGGGGAACACUUUUCUUGUUGGCAACUCCACUUUCGGCGACACCCAUGGUUGCUUACCACCACCGGCGGUUAGCCCUCAUCUAGACAACCCUAAACAUGGCCUAACAUCAACCCAAAAAGCCUCCGUUAGAUCUGCUAUUAUUUAGAAUUUAUUGACAGUCGAAACUCAUUUUUCGCGGAACACGCCUCUUUCAAUUCAUGCCUCAGACAGCAUCCAAUCCCCAAGUUGGCAUCAAUCAAACCAACAAGUCCAAAUGACUGUGGGCAUGAAUUUAAUUUUCCCAGCUAUCACCCCAAUUGCUCCAAUUUCUGGUUCAAAAUUCGCCCAGAAAGGUACUCACAGCAACUAUGUUCUGUCCAAAAUUGAUGGGUCUGUUUAAAUCUAUAAAUUCAUAUGGGGGGAAUACAUAAUCAGGGCCAAACAAAUAUGGGCAAUCAUAAAAUUGAUCCAAUCCAGCCAUUUAUCCGUCCAGCUUGCAAGAACAUUGAGGCUAUUCCGUCUCAAUCAAUUGAAGGGACUGUUAAUUGAGUCCACUAAUUCGAAAUGCAAAAAUUAGGAAUGAUGCUCCUGAGUUGUUGAGUGCAGAUGAAUUGAACCAGAGAUGUGAAGAUUUUGGCUUGAUGAUGGUGGUGGUGGCGGCGAUUUAUGGUGCGUUUUUUGUGAGAUGAGUGGCUGUGGCCAGUUAGUGUGGUGCUAGCGAUGGUGGGGUUUGAAGGAUAGAACAUUUUUUAUUUAUUGUUUAAAAAAAUAAAAAAAAAAUGGGGAAGAAGAUGAAGUGGCGUGGGUGGUGUGGAAAAUAAAGUUUAAAAGAUUUGGGAUUGUAGAUGUGCCAUAUAAAAAAU